GGCAAUAGCGGCGCGUAUUCGCCCUUAGAGUUUGAUUAUGGCUCAGAACGAACACUGGCGGCGUGGAUUAGGCAUGCAAGUCGAACGAGAAAGUUCCCUUCGGGGAGCGAGUACAGUGGCGAACGGGUGAGUAACGGGUGGAAAACCUGCCCUUCAAUGGGGGAUAACAGUUCUAACGAGCUGCUAAUACCGCAUACGACCCUUGGUCCGUAUGGUCCGAGGAUGAAAGAUGGCCUCUAUUUAUAAGCUGUCGUUGAAGGAUGGUUCCGCCUCCCAUUAGCUAGUUGGUGGGGUAAUGGCCUACCAAGGCGACGAUGGGUAGCCGGCCUGAGAGGGUGUCCGGCCACACUGGGACUGAGAUACGGCCCAGACUCCUACGGGAGGCAGCAGUCGAGAAGCUUCCGCAAUGGGGGAAACCCUGACGGAGCGACGCCGCGUGAACGAAGAAGGUCCUAUGGAUUGUAAAGUUCUGUCAGAUUGGGAAGAAAACUGCGCGGUUAAUACCCGUACAGCUUGACGGUACCAUCAGAGGAAGCACCGGCUAACUCCGUGCCAGCAGCCGCGGUAAUACGGAGGGUGCAAGCGUUGUUCGGAUUCACUGGGUAUAAAGGGUGCGCAGGCGGCCUGUUAAGUCAGGGGUGAAAUAUGACGGCUCAACCGUCAAACUGCCCCUGAAACUGAUAGGCUUGAGUCCGAGAGAGGUAGGUGGAAUUCCAGGUGUAGCGGUGAAAUGCGUAAAUAUCUGGAGGAACACCAGUGGCGAAGGCGGCCUACUGGCUCGGAACUGACGCUCAGGCACGAAAGCAUGGGGAGCGAACGGGAUUAGAUACCCCGGUAGUCCAUGCCGUAAACGAUGGGUACUAGGUGUUUGGAGGAUUCUACCCCUUCAGUGCCGCAGCUAACGCAUUAAGUACCCCACCUGGGGAGUACGAUCGCAAGGUUGAAACUCAAAGGAAUUGACGGGGGCCCGCACAAGCGGUGGAGCAUGUGGUUUAAUUCGAUGCAACGCGAGGAACCUUACCUGGGCUUGACAUGCAGGGGACAGUGUAGAAAUACACUCUUCUUCGGACUCUGUACAGGUGCUGCAUGGCUGUCGUCAGCCUCGUGUCGUGAAAUGUUAGGGUUAAGUU
rnacentral:rRNA from 1 species